CCUCAUCUGGCCAACCAUCUUCAGCUGCCAAUGGACAAGGUGUCUUCCUGGUACUGCACAUGAAGAUGUCCCGCUCUCCCCUGCUCAAGGAGAGAGUGCCUGACCUGAGCUGGGCCCAUCAGAUCCAGUACUUACCUGGAAUAGGAAAAAGAUGGGGAGAGUGACCAAAGACUACAAAAAUCUCUGAAGCUUAUCUACUUGAGAGAGAGUCCCUGAAGAUACUGGCCUCUCAUUCCUGCUAUGUAUAUCCAAUGUGACUGAACUCUGAAUAAAAUAUACAAGUUAUAACAAUGUAGCAAUUGACCCAGCAAACGAGGACACAAACGUGUUGAAGGGGUGUCUACGGAGAAAUAGACAAGCGAUGCACGACAGAUACAUGUGUCAGUCUGGUCCCUGCAGUUGUAUUUGUAAUAAUACACAUUGGAGCAAUUUCAUGGCCAUCGGUUAGAGAAUGUUUGAGGAAUGAUCCUUUCAUAUCAAGAAGGACAUUUCAAAGAUCAAAACCUGAUGGAAAUGCUGGAGACCAUGGCGCUGAUAGGAGCUCAUGCGUGUUGUCCAAUUACUACGUGACAGGCAUUGGCUCCAUGCUUUUCCUGCACUGCUCAUUUAAACACUGGACAACCUAAGUGUUCUGAUUUAGCCCAUUGGACAGAUAGAAAUGGAGGCACAGAAGAUUAAUGUGUUUAACUUCAAACCCUGGCAGAUUAGGUUUUUCAUCCAGAGCCUGUGGCUUC
rnacentral:lncRNA from 1 species